rnacentral:rRNA from 1 species
ACAGUGGAGAGUUUGAUCCUGGCUCAGGAUGAACGCUGGCUACAGGCUUAACACAUGCAAGUCGAGGGGAAACGGCAUUGAGUGCUUGCACUGAAUGGACGUCGACCGGCGCACGGGUGAGUAACGCGUAUCCAACCUUCCCGUUACUGCGGGAUAACCUGCCGAAAGGCAGACUAAUACCGCAUGUUCUUCGAUGACGGCAUCAGAUUCGAAGCAAAGAUCCGUCGGUAACGGAGGGGGAUGCGUCUGAUUAGCUAGUUGGCGGGGCGACGGCCCACCAAGGCGACGAUCAGUAGGGGUUCUGAGAGGAAGGUCCCCCACAUUGGAACUGAGACACGGUCCAAACUCCUACGGGAGGCAGCAGUGAGGAAUAUUGGUCAAUGGGCGGAAGCCUGAACCAGCCAAGUAGCGUGCAGGAUGACGGCCCUACGGGUUGUAAACUGCUUUUAUGCGGGGAUAAAGUGAGGGACGCGUCCCUUUUUGCAGGUACCGCAUGAAUAAGGACCGGCUAAUUCCGUGCCAGCAGCCGCGGUAAUACGGAAGGUCCGGGCGUUAUCCGGAUUUAUUGGGUUUAAAGGGAGCGUAGGCC